rnacentral:lncRNA from 1 species
CCGAAUCUUGCGACUUUCUCCUUGUCGUACACCACCGGAGAGCCGCCGCGGAUCAUCUCCGGGAGCUUGAACACGACUUGCUGGUCCGGUAUAACCACGAAGUUCUCCGUUAUCGCGAAGUCGUGCAUCAUUGUCGGCUGAUCGAGGUUGAUCUCGACGUCCGGCGAUUUUACCCCGUCCGGUGAGAAUCUGAAGUACUUUAAGUAAGGCUUCGAAACGACGUCGUAGCUUAGAGCGAAUAGCUCCCCGGAUUCCGGGUCGACUUUCGGGUGGGCGAUCAUUGUGGAUUCUAACUGUCCGUUGAAAUCGUAACGGCCAACGGUUUUCAAGUCUCCACUUGGAGUGAUCCUGACUUGGUAAGGCAAAUCGUCCUCCGACAUCGCUAAUAACCGGUUGUUGAAAUAGACUAAACCGGCGUUAGCUACUCCGGUUCCGUGCGCCGGGUCAACUAAACCGGCUGCAGCUCUGGAGUAGAAUAGCAUAAGUCGGGCGAUACCGGUGUGACCGUGAAGCUCGCCGAUGGCUUUGGGGAAAACAGGUCGGCCCAAUUGUCGCUCUUGGAUAAACCGGUUUGUUUGAGUAAACCGGCAAGCGUAGCUAGCUGAACCGUCUUCGAAUUUGACGGCGUGGACCAUCCCGUCUCCGUCGAAGAAGUGGUGACCAGUCACCGGCUCGUGAAGAGGGUUAGCUCCGUUGCGCACGUACACUCCUUUGAUGGAAUCCGGUAUUUUCCCGACCACCGGAAGAUUAUGUCGGACGGGCUGUUCAUUCACUGGAGCGAAGUUUCCGGCGAUUUGAACGCUAGGGUCGGCGGUUUUAGGGAGUGGAUGCUGUCGCUCGUGGCUCACGAGGAGCCCCUCCGUCGCGUCCAACGCCGCGGCAGCUGCUCUCUGGAACAAGUUCAUUUGUUUAGUAUCGGGUUCUUUAGCUUUGGGGUUAACAACAAUGGCUGGAGAGUUGGUGGGUUGCUUGGGGAAAUGGAGAGCAGGAGGUGUGUGAAGCGCGGAGGAAACGUUGAGCUUUCGUUGGACACGACUUGUCAUGGGUAUGGAGCUUUGAGGAGACGAUAAUGGAGGCUGAGUAUGAUUGCCACCGACCCAUCUCCGAGAAACCGCCGCAGUCGCCGUGAAAGAAGACAUUUUUGAAGUAUGUGUAGUCAGUAUUGUUGCUUCAAAGUGAGAGCUCGAUUUUGAGAUAGUUAAAGGCUGUUUUUGUUUUUGCUUCUUUGUUGAAAUGGAGAAGAGAAGAGAGAGUUGGUUUGAGAGCGAUGAAGUGCUGCUAAGGGUUUAUAUAAACCGGGAGAAGGGAAUGGUGGGUUGCCACGUGUUGAAUCAUUGACAUUGACAAGAAUGGAAUGAGUAGGUAUUUAGAGAGAGAAACAGAGUAAUAUGUUUUGGUUCAAAGUUUAGACAAAUGCAUCCACUUCAAUCUUUAACCCACUUUGUCUUUUUAUUUUUUGUGGCUUCUUGCUUCUAAGUUUGUUAACAAAAGCUAUCAAUCUUUGGCAGCUUGAAUAUGCAUUGGUCCUGAAAAAAACCUCUAAUCUUGUACAAUGUUUGGAUUGAUGGUUCGAUAACAUCAGGUUGUAUAUUGUCAUGCCAAAAACAAAUUUAAGUGUAUAUAAACUUUUCUAACUGGAAGGUAUUGUAGGAAAUAGUUUGUCCAUUUAAAUUAGUGUGCGAACAAUUUCUAAACUUUCAGAAAUUCAUAAGGUAUUGUAGGAAAUAGUUUGUCCAUUUAAAUUAGUGUGCGAACAAUUUCUAAACUUUCAGAAAUUCAUCUACAUAUCAAUGAAUAAGAGGGAUAUGUUUUGUUGUUCAAAAAAAUAAGAUAGAUGUUUUAGAAAAUAUUAAAUCCAGAGCAGGGUCGGCUCAAGAGGGAGGGCCAGCAGUGGAAUGGUCUAGAGCCAGCAGUGCAAUGGCCCAAGGCCCAUUUCAAAAUCAAACAAAUUUAGCUAUAGAAAAUAUCCAAAUUUUUUUUUGGUUUUCAAGCAAGGGCCCAAAAAUAUUAUUUUUAAUCGUUUAUAAUGAAUUAAAAUAAAUUGCCCAAGGAACCACUCAAUGUUUAAGCCGGUUUUGACCCAAAGUCAUUUUCCUACUUUAUUAUUAAACUAUAAGACAGUUCUUGCUAUUAAGGUAGUUUUAUUUAACCAAAUUCACUUUCUAGCUAAAGUCUAACUAAAUAAACAUGUAACCAGGUUUGAAAUUGCGCUAGGCAUAACGCGUGCGACCGGUAUGGGCCUAGCGAGUUGAGAAAAAAUCGGAAACUAUUCGGGGAUUAAUUUUACAAUGUUUUCCUAUAUAUAUAAUUAUCUGAAUCAAAAACAUAUGAAAGCAGUGUUGUCUAGUGGCUAGAUUGUUAUAAUUUAUGUUGGAGGUCGUGGGUUCGAACUAAAAUAACAGUUCGUCCUUUGUCUACAGAUCUGAAAAAUCAGAACUUUCGUCUUAGACUUUUUUUUUCAUGACAGUUGGCCGUUUGACUUGUUUUAUUUAUGUUUUCACUCAUUAAUAACAUAACUUGAAAUAGAUACGAUUUUAAACUUUCAUAAUAAAUUUUGAAUUUUUGUAAAAGAAUAUCCGAUUUUUUCUAACGAUUUGUAGAAAACGCCACGGUCUAGGAACGAGUUACGUUUAAUCGCUGCAUAAACGGUCAACGCGGCAGCGUUUUAGAACCUGGCAUGUAACCAAGUGUCAUACACUAAUUAAAUUUAACACAAAAAUAAAAUAAAACAACGACAUGGACCAAUGUAACAAACUUGAACAUAUUAGAAAUUUGAGACAAAAUAAAAAAUAAUCAAGAGCUGAAGGACUAAAUGUAUAAAUAAUCAAAAGUUGACCAUUGUUGUCCCAGUGAAGCUUUCUCUUCCAUCUACGACUGAAGCGAUGAUGAUUUCGGCGGCCACAACUCUGGUCCCGAAUAUGACGACCACAGCGACGAGGAGACAACUUAACCUUGACGCGGAUUGCGGUAGAGCUCUGUCGGAAUAAAGCUUGCGGUUUGACGUCACUGCAAACGGAGCUAUCCGACUGCUCUGUCACAUUUUGCUUUCUCAAUCGAUAAUAGAGCUCUCGGCCACUUGCGAUGAUGCCAUUUCCCUCGCUGUCGCUUUCAUCGUGAGGUUGAGCCAAUGUUGUAGUCUGCUAAAAAAAUAAUGAAGAAUAUGAUAUUAAUGUGUGAGUCCUACUAAUUAAAGCCAUUAUUUUUAGAUUUCUUUUGAAAUUUCUCUGCUAUUAAAAUUAUUUAUCUGUUACGGCGAGAAGAAAAAUAAGAUUAAAAAUUAUGGGGACCAUUAUGUUAGAAAAAUGAGCUUAAUUAGUUUGCAGUCACAAAAAAAAACUACCGUAUGAGUAAUAACUGGCAUAUAGUGUAAUAAAAAGUCAUAAAGCGUCGUAUAGUGUAAUCAUUCUAUGUUUUAUAUGUUAACAAAAAUAUGUAUAUUUUUAUUGGUAAAUGAUGUUUCAUUAAAUUACCAUCGCCAACUUGGCUUAUGCUGUGGCUCAAGAGCUUCUUGUUUGAGAAGUCCAAACUUGGCGUAUUCUUCUCCACAUGAAAAUAUCUCAGAGCUUUACAUUUUCAUGUUCAUGAUUGAUACGGCCCACUGGUGCAAGUGUUUGUGUCCGUACAAGAGGUUAUAUAUUUAAUUCUCCGACCGUUCUGAAGUGUACGGACACGACCAAGCAAUCGAACGUUCCUUGAUCUCAUAUUUUACCCUAAUAUCAAUUAUUAUGUAAGAGAAAAUGUGUACAAACGAAAUAUCAAGCAAUAAGAAGAAGGAAAUAUCAAGCAAUAAGAAGAAGGAAAAUGAUUGAAUAGAAGAUUUCAUAAAUAUCCGGCUCUCACUUAACAAGUCUGAAGCUAAAAGAAAUUUUUUGAGCAUUUACAGUAUAUUUCAAGUCUGAAGUUGAGUCUCAUCUCUAGCUACUCUACCCAUUUAUAGUGAAAAUAAAGUAAUAUAUAUUAAAAUUUUAUUACUUUAUUUACGCAGUAAUCUUAUAUUUUAGUCUGUUAUGAAGUAAAAAUAGAAUAGGAUUAGAGAAUAUUUUACUGUAAACUUUUUUUUUUAAGAAAAAAAUGGAGAAUAGUUGGAUAUGUUCUUAAGAUACAAAUAUCAAACGUACGUAAAUUAACCUUACCAACCCCAUAUGUAUAGCUCUAUGUUUACCCAAAUGAAAAUAUGGUCCACUAGUUAGUAGCUCAUUUAGUUGUCUAAUUGUCCUUGAAACUAGUUACCCAAAAAAUCAUAACUUAUAGAAACGAACAAAUCGUUAAUUGAACACUAAUACCCUACGCAUGCAAUUUUUAUAAUUAAGUCGGUGUGUUACAUCAUAUGACUUUCUCUCUAAGAUAUUUACUUUGAAUUGUCUGAAAUGAUACUCUUUUACAAAAAUCACUUAUAUCUUAGUUGACGAGAUCUGCAGAGAUGUUUGACCACUCCUUUUUCUAUUGGGUCAACAUUCAAACAGAGAUUCGUACGAUUAUGUUUGUUCUUUGUCACAGCUUCUUACACUUAUGUUUAAUUAAAUGUGCCAACACAGCAAAUGAUAACCGAUAUUUUUUUUAAAAUGUUCAUUUUAAAUAUAUUUAUUUUUAUAUUUAAUAUGUUAUUUAUGCCAGUAUUUAAAAAUCAAAACUUAGAAGAUUUCAGGUGUAAUUAUAUUUUCUUCUAAAAUAAAAACUAUAAUAUGGAUAUCAUUUUAUUACAAUGUAUACCUUUAUAAUAUGUAAAGAGAUCAACUUUGGCGAAGCCAGAGACUUUAGGCCACGGCUCGGCUAAGGCGAGGUAAGCGAACCUGGUCUUACGGCCGAGCAUGUUCCGGUUAACCAUCCCUGCUUCGAGGUUGACUUGCUCCUCUCCGUCGGAGAUGAUCGGCCGGCGAGUGGACUCACCGGUUCUGAGGUUCAGGCGUAUCUCGGAGAGGACGCUCUUGAGAUUCUCGUCGGACUCGUUGAAAAUUGAGUCCGGCGGAGUCAUGCACGACCCGAUCACGACGACCUCCUCCGUCUCCGGCUCCUCCCAAGCGUUCCAGAGAUGGAAGCAGAAGCACUCCGGCGCUUCGAUCCACUUAAUUUCCGACGAGUCUCCGGCGUAUUUGUCUAAAACUCCGAAUCUUGCGACUUUCUCCUUGUCGUACACCACCGGAGAGCCGCCGCGGAUCAUCUCCGGGAGCUUGAACACGACUUGCUGGUCCGGUAUAACCACGAAGUUCUCCGUUAUCGCGAAGUCGUGCAUCAUUGUCGGCUGAUCGAGGUUGAUCUCGACGUCCGGCGAUUUUACCCCGUCCGGUGAGAAUCUGAAGUACUUUAAGUAAGGCUUCGAAACGACGUCGUAGCUUAGAGCGAAUAGCUCCCCGGAUUCCGGGUCGACUUUCGGGUGGGCGAUCAUUGUGGAUUCUAACU